GUGAGGAAUUUUCCGCAAUGGGCGAAAGCCUGACGGAGCAAUGCCGCGUGAAGGAUGAAGGCCUAUGGGUUGUACACUUCUUUUCUUAGAGAAGAAUAUUGACGGUAUCUGAGGAAUAAGCAUCGGCUAACUUCGUGCCAGCAGCCGCGGUAAUACGAAGGGGGCGAGCGUUAUUCGGAAUCACUGGGCGUAAAGCGUGCGUAGGCGGUUUUGUAAGGUAGGAGUGAAAGCCCAGGGCUAAACCUUGGAAUUGCUCUUAAAACUGCAAGGCUCGAAUCGCAGAGAGGAUAGCGGAAUUUCCAGUGUAGCAGUGAAAUGCGUAGAUAUUGGAAGGAACACCAGUGGCGUAAGCGGCUAUCUGGACGAGUAUUGACGCUGAGGCACGAAAGCGUGGGGAUCAAACAGGAUUAGAUACCCCGGUAGUCC
rnacentral:rRNA from 1 species